GCGACCCCAGGUCAGCGGGGCUACCGCUGAAUUUAAGCAAUAUCAAUAAGCCGGGAAGGAA
rnacentral:rRNA from 1 species